rnacentral:lncRNA from 1 species
AAUUAUCUCUUAUAUAUCUCUUUUCUCUAUUUCUAUUUUAUUUUUUUCUGUAUAAUUUACUGGGUAAACAAUAAACAAAAGAUAUUAACACUUGAUUUUUGUGUUCAUUGAAUAGAAAAUCAGAAAACAAAAAUGACAGAUGCUGGAGAAAAAGUUAGUUGGAGAAUCAUCAACCUCCCAAAAAAGAUCAAAAAGGCAAAG